GAAAGUCACGACCUGCUCUCCGCUUGUCCUGGUAAACAAUGCUGCUCCCGGACGGCGACAGGGGCUGAAUCGCCGCACUCUGAAGGGGAAAUCACAUUCACGGAGCUUUUCUGCCCGACGACCACCGAUCCAGUUUCCGUUUUUUCUCUCAAAAUGUCUCCGAGGCGACGUUAAGAUUCCGUUUUCCGGGGAAGGACGCUCUCAUGGCGCAGAAAGGACGCUCGAUUUCUAGAUCGGCGGUGGAGGGGGAGGGGCCGCGCAAUCACGCCCUACGUGAGAACACUGCCGCGGUGAGCCGCUGGGGGCGCUACAGCACCGCCAUAGAUCUGACCUAAUACGUUUCCACAAAUGAAUGACUCCAUGAACUUUACUGUUUAAAUACACGAGUAACUCGUUUAAAAAAUGUAUAUUAACAAUUACACACUUUGCUUUAAGUGUUUAAAAAUGCAUGUAACCCGUGGAUUCACUUUGCACUGGACUUAAUGUAGUAAAUAGAAUAAUUCUUGUUAAAUUAGUUAUAACAUUAAAUUAUAUCAAAUUCAAUACAGUUGUGGCAAGUGCAUAAUGGUAGAAGAGACUUGUUUUUAAUUUAAAAAAUAAAAAAGUUAGCUUAAACUGACAUCCUUGAUUUAUUAAGCUUGAAGUAAAUGAUAAAAGUAUUAUUAGUAAUAGUAGUUGUAUUAUUUACUGUAUCACAGGUGCAGCAGUAUAUUAGGCCAUGUCACUCCUCCCUGCAGAUGAGUACAGCUACAACAAAAUGCACAAAAGUCAGGUUUCCAUUUUUUAUCACAUUUUACUGAUCUGUUUUUUUUUUUAAAUGUCUACGCUCAUCUUUCUUCUACUCUGCUGCAAGAAGUGAAUGACUACAGAUGUCUUAAAACAAAUAACCUUCUUAUUUAGAGUCCAGCACACUAUCUACACACUAUCUAGGCCAUAUUUCGGUCAUUCGCUGGUCGAUCAAAACCAUCCACCCCUCCUGACAUUUCCUGGAAAUACAUUCCGAUUAUCUGCCUUUGUCAUAAACCCAUCCUCACUUUAAACUUCACUAUGAACUCAAAGACUGUCUGCUUUAAUUUUUUCCCUCUUACUGGAAAAUGGAGUAAUAUAAUAAUUACACUCACACUUACUCAAUAAGACACACAUUGGAUCAGUUUGAUAAUAUGUGUCUCUUUUCAUUGUUUUCUGGCAAAAUCUGACACAUGCACAUGUAUAAAAAAAAUCAUAUGUGACAUAAAAUAACUGCAUAUGUACAAACACAGUGCUUUGUGCAAAUGUGUACAGAUUACGAUCAUGUGUUGAUAAAUGAUACAUGGGUAAUGUGCACAAAACAUACAUAAUACAUCUCAUUCAUAAACAUAAAGCAAAUAAACAAAGAUUUCAAAUCAAAUAACUCUCAUCUAUUUUUUUGUCCCAGUUUAAUUAAAAACACAUACGGAUUGAAUUUACGAAAACAUUUUACACUGAAAAGAGUUUAAGCUGUCACUAUUUAAAUGAGUGAUGAGGCAACUCUAUUUUUUGCCGUGAUGCCUUUAGUGCUGAUUAAACAUUCCUUUAUGCUUCUCUCUUGUAUUUCUGCCACAGGGCAGAAUCGCAUUUCUUCAACAAAACGGGAUGAAUUAACUUCUCCUCAAUGCACUCAGCUGUUUAAUUGAUUGCAUUUUUUUCCCAAACGCAGCACUGGAUGUCUGGGGCCACUACUUUCCCUCUGCCCAAAGUAAAAGAAACCUUGUAACACACGCACACACACACACACACACACAGUCAAAAGGGAGGACAUCCAAACAACCCGAAAUGAGUGAAUUGAGGAAUCCCGUGUGUAAUGUUCAACAUAAGUGAGGACAAAAUGAAAUGAAAUUAAAGGAUGAGAGUAUGGUACAGAAUCAAGCUAAAAUGUAGUGUGUCGAGCAAAGAAGAAAAUUGUCCAUUGGGUAAGAAACCUUCCUUCACAAAUAAUACUUGGGAUGCUCAUUUGUUUCCUUUACUUCGUGUGUUGUGACAAUAUGAAUUACAAUAGCGGAGCGAAAGAUGUGAUUUUUGGAAAAGCAAUGAAAAAGAUUUUGCAGAGCAGAUCUCAUGUAGCUAUUUUUGUGUCAUUCUGGGGACAUUUCCAAUAGAGAAACGUCUUUGGAUUUUUAUACUACUCGGGUUAUCAUGAUCAUUUGAUACAAAUAAUCACAGCUGACAUAUUCAUAAUUCAAAAGGCACUGGUUGUGUAUGUUUGGAGUGCGCAGUGGCAGAGGAACACAAGAAUGCUGUUAAUGCUUGUGGGUGGCUAUAUAAAUAGAUAUUUCAAUUCUGUCUUUGUUUCUAUGUGUGUGGCCAUCGCUUCAAAAGGGAGAUUCUUAAGCCUAAAUGUUGACCUGCUGCUAAAAAGAUAUGGUGGUGCGUGUUUAUGCAAAUCAUAAACUAGUCAUUAUGCAAAGUUUAGGAUUUGUCUCUUCUCCCUUUCAAAGAAUGCAACUUUGUGCAUCCUUUACAGAUAAGGCAGUGUCAGCAAAAUCAUAAUUAAACAAAGGCCAUACAGUUGAUAUGAUAUUGAUUAUUUUUCUUUUGAAUCACUCACAUCAACAGUGAUCUCUCAUGGGUGAUUUACUUUGAAUUGGAAUAAAACUUAAAUAUCUUUCUCACACACACACACAGACACACGCUAAGGGGAAAGAAGUGUUUUCAGGAGUAAGGACAAAGCAUGAAGUGAGUAAAAGAGCAAAGAGAGCUUCAGAUGUGCCAGGUAUUCGAUGGGAACACCACCAUAUUAUUCCAGGCAGCCAGUUAAUGACAGAAUGAAGGAACUGGAAAAGAGCAAAGAGAAAAAAAAAAGAUGGAAUUGUCCAAACAAAUGCAGCAAAACCUGCACAACAAGCAUACUUUCAUCAAACAUACAAUCAUAAUCUACUCUCAUUAUGAAAACAGCAUGAUAAAAAAACUUUCUGAAAACCAAAGUAACCAAAAAAUACAGUCAUAGUUUUAGGCACCACAAAACAAUCAGCUAGUUUAGGUUGCACUGCACCUAUAGAUCACUCAAUUAAAGUGGCAAAAUUUAAGUAUAUUGUUACAGUAGAGGCUCCAGUAAAUGAAGGGGCCAUAACAGGGUCAAAGUGAAAAGUCCCACCCCUUCAACGACAAAUCACUAAAGGCAGACAAUACUGAACUACUGAAUAAAUCUACUGGACGGAAAGAUGUUGAUUUCUUUUUAUUCAGCAAUGAAGGCAAAAAUGUCCCUUAAUUUGAAUCUGAGGUUUUACAGAAGACACAGAGAUCAUAGCUGAUCUGUGCUAUGAUACUGCAACCCAGAGCAACAUGGACCACCCUAUCAUUUAUCGAGAACUACACAGUGAUUGUCCCUCACAGUCUCACUUCCAGUGCCUACUCCACCCUAAACGUAUUCUAUGUAUCAAACUCUCACCCCACUGUGGAUUUAAAGUUUAAGUCUGUUCACAUCCUCUUCUUAUCCAGACAGAGCCUGAUAUAUUUCAUUUCUCUGAGGUGCAUUGUUGUCCACUGUUAGUGCUGGGAGACUUACUCCCUUGUUGAACUAAUAAGGGGUCAGUUGUUAUUUUAAGUUAAUCCCACAUGCACUGUCCUGCUGCCAUAAAUACAAACUACCACAGCAAAUCCACCACUGAAAAUAGUCCCCCAACAAAUACACAAUUUACUGCCUUGAUGGCCUAUGAGUUAAGGUGCUGCUGACCAUAAACCACAGCAUCCUGCAGUUCAUGUAUGUCUGGGCACCUUUGUUGCAUGUCGUUCCUGCCAUCACGCCCCAAAAUACUAAAAAGAUUGGGCUGAGAGCCGUGAGGGAGGAGAGGAGAGUCAGGAAGUGUUGAGAGAUGCAGUAACUUUGUUGGUUUUGGUCUUUUCAUCUUGUCAUUUUACAUUUUUUAGCAACAACAAAAAUAUAAAAUUUCUGUAAGCCUUAUCCGUGGGUGUAAAAAAGUUUUAGUUAGUUUUUUUUCAUACAGCAUCCAACUGUGAGGCUCAGCUCCUUUAAAGUUGUUCUGACCCAGUUAAAAAGCAGACCGACACUGGAGCAGAGUAUUUUGCUGUACUUUUAUGGAAAUACAUGUCGGACAGCAGACAAAGUGGAUUAUUACGACAGAGUAUUGCGACAAUUUAAAGGUGGGGGAAAUUGGAGAAUUUAAGAAUUAAGUAGUAGUUUAGGCUACAUGUAAUGUUAAAGGGGGAAAAACAGAAGCUCAACUCAUGUUAAAAUGAGGAACGUGGCACAUCAAGUCAUAUUUCAGUAUAAAUUUUACAAAUAAUGAAACACUUCCCUUUUUUCACAUCAGCACCAAGUCAUCAGGACUGUGAACAGAUUGUCUAGGAAAGUGUGUAUAUUCCAAAGGAAAAAAA